rnacentral:rRNA from 1 species
GUGGGGAAUCUUCCGCAAUGGACGAAAGUCUGACGGAGCGACGCCGCGUGAGUGAAGAAGGCCUUCGGGUCGUAAAGCUCUGUCAUCAGGGACGAACGGCCGGUGGAGUGGAAAGCCACCGGAUUGACGGUACCUGAGAAGGAAGCCACGGCUAACUACGUGCCAGCAGCCGCGGUAAUACGUAGGUGGCAAGCGUUGUCCGGAAUUAUUGGGCGUAAAGCGCGCGCAGGUGGGAUCUUAAGUCCAUUUUGAAAGUUCGGAGCUCAACUCCGUGAUGGGAUGGAAACUGGGAUUCUUGAGUACCGGAGAGGAAAGCGGAAUUCCCCGUGUAGCGGUGAAAUGCGUAGAUAUGGGGAGGAACACCAGUGGCGAAGGCGGCUUUCUGGACGGUGUCUGACACUGAGGCGCGAAAGCCAGGGGAGCGAACGGGAUUAGAUACCCUGGUAGUCC